rnacentral:rRNA from 1 species
AGAGUUUGAUCCUGGCUCAGGAUGAACGCUAGCUACAGGCUUAACACAUGCAAGUCGAGGGGAAACGAUAGAGAAAGCUUGCUUUUUCUAGACGUCGACCGGCGCACGGGUGAGUAACGCGUAUCCAACCUGCCCACCACUUGGGGAUAACCUUGCGAAAGUAAGACUAAUACCCAAUGAUAUCUCUAGAAGACAUCUGAAAGGGAUUAAAGAUUUAUCGGUGAUGGAUGGGGAUGCGUCUGAUUAGCUUGUUGGCGGGGUAACGGCCCACCAAGGCGACGAUCAGUAGGGGUUCUGAGAGGAAGGUCCCCCACAUUGGAACUGAGACACGGUCCAAACUCCUACGGGAGGCAGCAGUGAGGAAUAUUGGUCAAUGGACGAGAGUCUGAACCAGCCAAGUAGCGUGCAGGAUGACGGCCCUAUGGGUUGUAAACUGCUUUUAUAAGGGAAUAAAGUGAGCCUCGUGAGGCUUUUUGCAUGUACCUUAUGAAUAAGGACCGGCUAAUUCCGUGCCAGCAGCCGCGGUAAUACGGAAGGUCCGGGCGUUAUCCGGAUUUAUUGGGUUUAAAGGGAGCGUAGGCCGGAGAUUAAGCGUGUUGUGAAAUGUAGAUGCUCAACAUCUGCACUGCAGCGCGAACUGGUUUCCUUGAGUACGCACAAAGUGGGCGGAAUUCGUGGUGUAGCGGUGAAAUGCUUAGAUAUCACGAAGAACUCCGAUUGCGAAGGCAGCUCACUGGAGCGCAACUGACGCUGAAGCUCGAAAGUGCGGGUAUCGAACAGGAUUAGAUACCCUGGUAGUCCGCACGGUAAACGAUGGAUGCCCGCUGUUGGUCUGAAUAGGUCAGCGGCCAAGCGAAAGCAUUAAGCAUCCCACCUGGGGAGUAC